GGAGGUGAGGGCAAUCUGGUUGGGACAACUGUUACCCUACUGAUCACCAGAGCUGAUUCAGCUGAUCUGGCUGGCCAGGCAGGAGUCCCCUUCCUCCAUCACUGUUCCCUGUACAUCCCGAAGCUAUACACUCAGUUGAAGAGGAUGUCCUUCCUCAGCAGAGGAGCACUGUCUUCAAGAGUGUGCUUUUCAGCUUCCCCUGCCAGCAUCUCAAGGCAAACUCUCAGGAAAAAUCCGUCCCUUCCUAGGUUCCCAGUCUCUUCGUGAGGCAGACUGCCUGGAA
rnacentral:snRNA from 1 species